UGCAGAGGCUGGGGCAGGUUGGUGGGGAAUGGUGCUGAUCCAAGGAUAUGACAGCAGCAGAGGAAAAAACCAGGCCAAAGUUGUGCAUGUGCAGAAAUGAGUGGUUUUAGGGACAUGGGAUAAACACUUAACACACACAUGUGUCAAAACACCUCUGUAAGGUGCAGAAGCAGCUGGUGGUGCAGAAUGUAUUUAUGUGGAAAUAUGUCUGGGAGUAGUAAACAGCAGUUUGUGCUCUUCUCCAUGUAUGUGCACAAUGCCUUUCAUGGCAUAACGUGAACAUGGCUGAAGGGGAGGCCUGGUAAUCAAGAUGAGAAAAGAUAUGGAAGCACAUGAAAGGCAGAGAUGAUACAUUCUUGUACAGCCUUCAAAGGUGAAUUCAUGCACUGGUAUACAAAUAUGCAGGGUGGGGGGAAGAGAUGUACCCAAACACAUCAACAGGGAAUUAUACCCACAGAGAGGUGAGCAGUCCCCCUCUCCUUUUGGAGGUAUGUUUAAUACCUUUGUGAUGAUAAUUAAAGCCCCUGUUUGGGUGUUGCAUCUUGUGAUUUACUGCGGUCUUAUAAAUCUUUCAGCAAUUUGAAAUCUGCAGGGAACAAAGGUACUGCAGAGUUUGGAAAAGAAACAAAGAGAAGGAGCUGCACCACACUGAGCAGAGGGUACCCUGGGCUAUCUGGAAAGAGUGGCUGAUAGGCAGGGAGGGUAGGAGGUCCCACAGGACUUUCCAGCCCAGGAAACCAAAACCUUUUGCCUGUGGACCCCAAUUCCUCCCACCAAAGGGAGGCACCCAUCCAAAGCACUCUUUCCCUCUGGCUGACUCUUGCACUCCUGGAAGGGGAUCUGGGUCUGAUUUCUCUCCAAAAGGGCAGAACCUUUCCUGGUGGCUCCGUGCCCUCCUAGAGAGAUGGCAGAGGAGGGGAGGGCUGAAGCUCGCCUGGUGUCCAGUUGGCAUUUGGUGGGAUAGCAGUCACAGCCAUGACAGCAGUCCUGACUAUUCCUGCCAAGAAAUCAAAGCUGAAGAAUGUGGAGGUGCAGGUGAUGGUGGGACUGAGGGGUGGGGAGGCAUGAGAGGCCAUCUGCAGAGAGCACGGGGUGGUCUGUGAAGCUGACAGGAGCACCAUGACUUGCCCGGUGGAGAUGGUGAUUUCUGGCUUCCUUUCCAGGGUGAGAUCAUUCAUUGGAUUCCCACCAAAAAAUCAGCACUCCCUCCCUCAAACAGUUCAAGCCUGCUGAGGGCAUCUGUGCUGGUUAUUGCUGUGGAUGAGGCUCCAGGAACGCCGAGGGCUGAUCCUUCAGGGAAUCGAAGCCUGGCCACGUGUGGGUGGAUGGGGAAGGGAAUAAAAGGAUGAAGAACUUGGUCA
rnacentral:lncRNA from 1 species